UUUCUGAUUCAUAUGUUGGAGCCCUUUUUUUUUUCUACGAUUGGCCUAGGGCUGAUCCGUGUCUUAUGCACUUUGGUAUAUGCAAGGAUACGUGGACUGGCCGGUGCCAUCUGUCUCUUUGCUUUCCAUAUCUGAGGGGGGUUCUUAUGUUUUGGUAUUUUGUCUGCUUUCAGUUCUGGAUUCUUGGUUGGGUCUGUGAGGAGUUCCACUGCUUCGGAUUCCAUUGUAUAGCUACUAAGAAAACAAAAAAAAGGCCCUUCGUAUGCCCUUCCAAGCUGUGCGACAUUGAUAGAUGAUAUACCUGUAAUUGAAAAGCUUAUAAAUGGCCAAGAAGAGUUAAGAAAGGAAAGCCUAAGAUGGAAAUAUGUAAAACAAAGAUCAAGAGAUUGGAACAGAACAAAUUGGCAGCAAUCGAAACAAGAAUGGAAGCAAGUGAGGGAAACAGUUAAAUGGAUAGAAGAUAACCAGUAUAUACUGACGAGAGAAGAUAAAACGAGGAAAAUGGUAUUAAUGAGAGCAGACACAUA
rnacentral:lncRNA from 1 species